AUGGAAGCUGCGGUUGGCACCAUGGCCGGUAAGACCGUGCCUAAGCUCUUCGAUUUGUUAGAAACAAAUCACAAGCUACGUCGGGAGCUGGAGCAUGACAUCGAGUACAUCAAAAAUGAGUUUGCGAUGAUUUCCGCCGCCGUUGAGGAGGAUGGUGAUCACCCCCCAUGGAGUGGCAACCAGGUGCAUAAGGCCUGGAUCAAGAUGGCGCGCCAACUAGCGCACGAUAUUGAGGACUGCCUCGACCGCUUCAUGCAUCGCAUGGCGCUCGACCCCAGUGCAUCGUGGAUUCAUCGGCGAUACCACCGGGUGAAGACGGUGAGAGCCCGUAACAAAUUUGCCGCAGCCAUCCGGCGUCUCAGGAAGAGAUCAGAGGAUGCAUCCAAGCAGAGAACAAGCUACACCACCAACUAUGGCACCUUGGAGUCAGCAGGGGCAUUUGAUGAUGAGACGGACACCUCCAUGCCCAUGGUCACCGUGGGUAUGGACAUGCCCCAGGAUGAGCUCAUGGAGCUGAUAAGGGAAGACCAACAACACGAGGAGAACAAGCUCAAGGUGAUCUCCCUUGUCGGAUUCGGUGGUAUAGGCAAGACUCUCCUUGCCAAGCAUUUGUACGACACAACUGAGAGUGAAUACGAAGCACGGGCUUGGGUUUGUGCUGCGGAGAAAGGCUCGUGGGAUGUUCUCAAGGAGAUACUCCGGCAACUUAGAAUACAUUCCACCAUUACUAGUAGUAGUGGAAGUGCAGGCAACCCCUGCCGUCUCAGCAAUACCAAGCUCUGUGCAAGCCUCAGAGAGUGCCUUGGGACCAAGAGGUUUUCCAUUGUAAUCGAUGACAUGCGGAGAGACUUUUGGGUUGAUAUAAAAGAUGCUUUCCCUGUGGUUCCGGGCGUCAACAGUAGAAUUAUUGUCACGACGGCCUCUCGCACCAUAGCAAUCAAAAGCAGUUGUCAUGAUGGUCAUGUGUACAUAAUGAGAACACUCACUGAGCAACACUCAAAACAAUUGUUCUGUGAGAAAGCUUCUCUGGUGUAUCCGCCAACAGUCCAAGAUACGGAACUGAGUUCAGAAGUAAUAAAAAAAUGUGAUGGUCUGCCCCUUGCUCUUGUUACCACAGCACGGUUGUUGCACGGUGAUCACAGACAGCGACAAUGGGCAGACCUGGGAAAUAACCUUGGCAGCCAUCUUGAGACACAUCAUAUGUUAGCAAAUAUGAAGCGUGUGCUUGUCCGUAGCUUCACUAGCCUAAGUAAGCAAGAUAUCAAGACAUGUUUGCUUUAUCUGGGUAUUUACCCAAGUGGUCGCCCAAUCAGGAGAGGAAGCCUGAUAAGGCGGUGGUCAGCCGAAGGUUUCAUCACAACAGAGCCUAAACGCAGUGCCCUUGAGGUUGCUCUUGCAAAUUUCAAUGAGCUGGUCGACCAGAGCAUCAUCCAGCCUAUUGAUGCCAGCAGCAGCAGCAGUGCAGAGGUGAAGACAUGCAAAACACAUGGCAUAAUGCUCGAGUUCAUCCUGCACAGAUCCAUGUCUGAGAACUUUGUUACCUUGUUAUAUGAUAAGGAUCCCCCACCCGGGAGUAAAAUUCGUUGGCUUUCUCUGCAGCAUAAAACUGAUGCAAGAUCCAAAAUGGAUCCAAAGGAUCUAAGCCUUGUCCGUUCUCUCACGAUCUUCGGUGAGGCGCACAAUUCAGUGUUGGACUUCUCCAAGUAUAAACUGAUUAGAGUUUUGGAUUUAGAAGAGUGCGAUGAACACUUGGGAGACAAGCAUCUCAAGGAGAUAUGCAACAACAUGUCACUGCUCAGGUACCUAAGCCUCAGAGGCGCUGCUAGAGUUACGGUUCUUCCAAAACAGAUCAAGAAGCUUCAACUUUUGGAAACACUAGAUUUAAGAGGAACCAGUAUAGAGAUUCUUCCCAUACAAGUCAUGAAACUUCCAUCCUUAAUUCAUUUGUUUGGAAAGUUCAAGUUCCAACAAAAUGUAGGAAGCCGGAGAAUGAGUAAGCUACAGACUUGGCUGUCGGAGAAAAGUAAACUGGAAACUCUAGCCGGAUUUGAUGUGCACAACAAUUGCCAAAGAUUCACACAGAUCAUGGAGCAUAUGAAGCACCUGACCAAGGUGAAAAUAUUGUGCGAGUUCACUGCACAUGACAGCAGCAACUCAAUACAUCUCUCAAAGUCCAUCAAGGAGUUCAUCCAGAGAGGCACCAAUCUGAACGAAGCUCGUGCACUCUCGCUGACCAUCAACAAUGAACGUUCUCCAGACUUGCUGGAUUUCUCCCUAGAAAAGGAUUACUCCUACUACCUUAGCUCACUCAAGCUACAAGGGAGCAGAAAAUGCAGCCAGCUGCCUCUGUUUGUUACCAUGCUGGGUGGUCUCACUAAGCUGUGCCUGUCAUUCCCUGGUGAUCAUAAGCUGAGUGGUAACAUUCUUAAUGUGCUGAGCAAAGUGCGUGGCCUUGAGUACCUGAAGCUGAUUGCAACUCAACUGGAUAAGCUCGUCAUCGAGCAAGGCCAUGCACUCCAAAGCCUGCUACGAUUAUGCAUCGUGGUGGAAGUCGUAACUGAGCUGGAAAUACAAGAGGGAGCUCUGCCUCGCCUCGAGUUGAUCCAGCUGCUAUGUAAAGAUCUAAAUGGCAUUAGUGACACAAUCCAGUCACUACCACGUCUUAAGGAGGUCGCCCUCCAUGAUGGAGUGAGCGAUGAAGCAAAACAGGAGUGGAAAGGAGCGGCAAAGAGUCACCCUAGACGUCCCAAGCUCUUGUUUGUUGAGACAAAGCUGAUGGCAAGUGAGCCUGCUCCGAACACUAUUUCUGCAGAAACAGCUACUCAUACAAUGGUCAAAGAGGUUGAUGCGGAGAGUGAACCUGCGACACCACCUACUGGUAUGAAGUUAUCGGUGAUAGCGCCGCCCAAUGUGAUUUCCACUCAAGAGACUGCACAAGUUGUUACUUCUGAAAUGGUUGAUCAUCAGGAACUGAUGGGAGGUGAACCUGCUGCAGAAAUUAUCCCUGUGGCAACAGCCACUGAUAUGAUGGCUGAAAAGGAUGAUGUGGAAGUACAACUUGAUGGUGGUGAUCAACAUGAUGCUGAUGGGAAAGAUCUGGAUAACAUAGAGGACCCGAAAGAGUUUGCUAACAAAAAUGGUCUGAGCAUUCCCAUGGUAGAUCAGAUGAACAAGGAAAGUUCUAAAGAGGAGAUGGAAGGAGUGACUGGUUUAGAAAAACUUCAGGUGGAAGAUGGCACCCAGAAACGAGGCCUACAGAACAAACAGCGUCUGCGCGCGAUCUUGUCGUCACUGGUGGGAAUUGGUGUCUUUCGCCAAAGAAGUCGACGAGGGAUGUUGGUGCCUUGA
rnacentral:rRNA from 1 species